GCUUAUCGGAUUUCACUAAAGUGUUUGAUAUUGAGUAUCGCAUUGCUGUUAACAGACUUCUUAGCAUGAUGUUGCUUUGCUGCCAAUGGGUUGUCGAUUUUCAUUCUGAUAGAAGGAUCAAAUACAUAAACGUUUUUCUGAGUGGGAAACUCUUACAGGUGAAUUUCCUCAUCAUUUCCCCUAUAAUGUUUGUAUCUUUAACAGUACGAUGAACGAAGAAUUUAUGUUGGAAUAUAGUAGGCCUAUCCAGGUCUGAAAAAGUAUGUGGAUGAUUUGACACUUGGAUAAAGUCGAGUUUUGGUGACCCAAGUCGAUAUCAAGGUGGAUUAGAUGCACUCUACAAAUGUUCUAAGAUCAUUGACCUGGCUUAACCCCUCUAUGUGCCAUCAUGUAGACGUAUUUUGGACGGAAAACACUGGAUAUCCACAUUGAUAAUACUCCUUUAUCGAUUGUGAACGAAGUUAAACUUAUUGCUGUUGAUUCAGUGCAAUUUAAAAUGGGAUGCUCAAAAGUUAAACGUAUGGUUAAAAAGACCAGCAAUAAGUUGUUUAUAAACAAACUGGACUUGACAUUUCUGAUCUUCUUGUUGAGUACAAAUGGUAUAUUCGCCCGGUACUUGAAUAAUGCUGUGGCAGCUUGGAAUAGAGGACUGUUUUGCAGAGGGCUCGUCUCGGAGAUGUUCAGAUUUGUAUGUGCCGCUAGUUACUUGGAGUGGGGAGGACAGUACCUGGAUUACGGAAGUGGAUUACGGAAGUGCUCACACUGUUCUUGGACUGGAGUAUCUCAGCGAUCGCCGGAUGACACUGUGUAGAGAGGUUGGCUAAAAAGGCCGUGUGAGCGACAAAUUUCCACACUGGUUUCAGAAAGUAAAGUCCACCCAAUUUAUGCAGCUUCGGGAAGAGAAGAGAUCGACAACCAUAUUUAAAAUACUGUAGUCCAAUACUACAAUACUGUACCAUAUCUCACAAAUUUCUUUAAUUAACAAUUUUUUUUUUGAUAACCCACAUUUCCACAUUUCUUCACAUGUCCUCACUUUGACAUCCAGCGGUCAUGUGGCACUGCCCGGGUGUGGUGGUUACUUGGUUAGUUUUGGCUUUUGUACUGUACUGCCACUUUGAUGGGCUUGGCUGCGUGUGUGUAAGGCAUCCGUGUGUGGGUCACCUGCAGCUUAAAUGAAGAACAAGAAGAAGAACAUAGAAGGCAUUAUGAGGCACUGCAUGAGUAUACCAACAUUUUAAAUAACUUACCCCUAAGCAAUAGCGAUAGGAGUAUUGCAGAUAGACUCAAUUUUAUUAAGACUGAAAUACACAAUCUAGCAGUUGCUUCACCAUCAUGGGGUACAUUUACACCACCUUCUACGACGGUAAGCAGUUUUGUUCAGAAUCAUCCUUCACAUCUGGCGCCCGCAAUCUUGGAGUAUGUUCUACAAAAACUGAACAGUUACAUAAAUAAUGGUUUAUCCAUUACUGUCCACAAAUAUACGCUGCCCAGCACUCCAUAAACUAACUAAUCCGUUUACCUAUAAUUGAAUCCAGGACACCAUUGUUAAACACUCAGUACUUAUCCUUGAUAAUGUGUUAAUCCAAUUAAUAUAGUGAGAUAACCUAACGUUAGUUUAUCGAGGGCGGGUUGAGCUAAUGAAUCCCCAAGGUAGAGUUGGAACUUUAUGUUAAGACAUUUUGAGACUGUUGUCAUCAUUAAGCGCUGGGUCGGAGGAUAACAACGACCGAUUUCGAUUCAAGAUUCAAGAUUCACUUUAUUUUGUCUUAGGCCUACAUAAAAUGUGAAAGACCUAUUUGUUUUCCUGGGUACAAGAAUAUCAUAUAGGCCUCUAAACUUAAUUUAGGUCUGCUGCAUAGUACCGUAGACACUUUGUAAUCAAUAGAUGAAUAAUAACAGUGCUCCAAUAGGACCAUACUGUAUAUGAUAAUGUUAAGACACUUUGAGGCAGUUCUUGUCAUAAAGCGGUUAAGGUCACGGACGGUAUAUAUGACCUUAGACCUCUCUCUCACUCCAUAUAAAUACGUACCGUAUACAGAUCUAUAAACAUAUUCAUAUACAUAUGUAUAUAAUCACAUUUAAAGGCCUUUAAAGGAUUUUUUAAAAAGAUGACUAAUAGUGUAAAAUAUUUAAGGCCAAUAUAUUAAGCUAUAUUUAGGGCUAUAUAUAUUAUGUAUAUGAACAUAUUAUAUAUAUAUAGGCCUAUAUAAUAUAUAUAU
rnacentral:misc_RNA from 1 species